rnacentral:rRNA from 3 species
UUAGGUGGCUAUAGCGUGGGGGCACCACCUCUUCCCAUACCGAACAGAGAAGUUAAGCCCCACAGCGCCGAUGGUACUGCACCAAGUGGGAGAGUAGGACGCUGCCGACC